rnacentral:rRNA from 1 species
GGGUUGUGAGGUUAAGCGACUAAGCGUACACGGUGGAUGCCCUGGCAGUCAGAGGCGAUGAAGGACGUGCUAAUCUGCGAAAAGCGUCGGUAAGGUGAUAUGAACCGUUAUAGCCGGCGAUGUCCGAAUGGGGAAACCCAGUGCAAUUCGUUGCACUAUCGUUAACUGAAUACAUAGGUUAACGAGGCGAACCGGGGGAACUGAAACAUCUAAGUACCCCGAGGAAAAGAAAUCAACCGAGAUUCCCCCAGUAGCGGCGAGCGAACGGGGAGCAGCCCAGAGUCUGAAUCAGCUUGUGUGUUAGUGGAACGGUCUGGAAAGUCCGACGGUACAGGGUGAUAGUCCCGUACACCAAAAUGCACAGGUUGUGAACUCGAAGAGUAGGGCGGGACACGUGGUAUCCUGUCUGAAUAUGGGGGGACCAUCCUCCAAGGCUAAAUACUCCUGACUGACCGAUAGUGAACCAGUACCGUGAGGGAAAGGCGAAAAGAACCCCGGCGAGGGGAGUGAAAAGAACCUGAAACCGUGUACGUACAAGCAGUGGGAGCACCUUCGGGUGUGACUGCGUACCUUUGUAUAAUGGGUCAGCGACUUAUAUUCUGUAGCAAGGUUAACCGUAUAGGGAGCCGCAGGGAAACCGAGUCUUAACUGGGCGUUAAGUUGCAGGGUAUAGACCCGAAACCCGGUGAUCUAGCCAUGGGCAGGUUGAAGGUUGGGUAACACUAACUGGAGGACCGAACCGACUAAUGUUGAAAAAUUAGCGGAUGACUUGUGGCUGGGGGUGAAAGGCCAAUCAAACCGGGAGAUAGCUGGUUCUCCCCGAAAGCUAUUUAGGUAGCGCCUCGUGAACUCAUCUUCGGGGGUAGAGCACUGUUUCGGCUAGGGGGUCAUCCCGACUUACCAACCCGAUGCAAACUACGAAUACCGAAGAAUGUUAUCACGGGAGACACACGGCGGGUGCUAACGUCCGUCGUGAAGAGGAAACAACCCAGACCGCCAGCUAAGGUCCCAAAGUCAUGGUUAAGUGGGAAACGAUGUGGGAAGGCACAGACAGCCAGGAUGUUGGCUUAGAAGCAGCCAUCAUUUAAAGAAAGCGUAAUAGCUCACUGGUCGAGUCGGCCUGCGCGGAAGAUGUAACGGGGCUAAACCAUGCACCGAAGCUGCGGCAGCGACACUAUGUGUUGUUGGGUAGGGGAGCGUUCUGUAAGCCUGCGAAGGUGUGCUGUGAGGCAUGCUGGAGGUAUCAGAAGUGCGAAUGCUGACAUAAGUAACGAUAAAGCGGGUGAAAAGCCCGCUCGCCGGAAGACCAAGGGUUCCUGUCCAACGUUAAUCGGGGCAGGGUGAGUCGACCCCUAAGGCGAGGCCGAAAGGCGUAGUCGAUGGGAAACAGGUUAAUAUUCCUGUACUUGGUGUUACUGCGAAGGGGACGGAGAAGGCUAUGUUAGCCGGGCGACGGUUGUCCCGGUUUAAGCAUGUAGGCUGGUUAUCCAGGCAAAUCCGGAUAAUCAAGGCUGAGGUGUGAUGACGAGGCACUACGGUGCUGAAGUAACAAAUGCCCUGCUUCCAGGAAAAGCCUCUAAGCAUCAGGUAACAUCAAAUCGUACCCCAAACCGACACAGGUGGUCAGGUAGAGAAUACCAAGGCGCUUGAGAGAACUCGGGUGAAGGAACUAGGCAAAAUGGUGCCGUAACUUCGGGAGAAGGCACGCUGGUGUGUAGGUGAAGUCCCUGCGGAUGGAGCUGAGACCAGUCGAAGAUACCAGCUGGCUGCAACUGUUUAUUAAAAACACAGCACUGUGCAAACACGAAAGUGGACGUAUACGGUGUGACGCCUGCCCGGUGCCGGAAGGUUAAUUGAUGGGGUUAUCCGUAAGGAGAAGCUCUUGAUCGAAGCCCCGGUAAACGGCGGCCGUAACUAUAACGGUCCUAAGGUAGCGAAAUUCCUUGUCGGGUAAGUUCCGACCUGCACGAAUGGCGUAAUGAUGGCCAGGCUGUCUCCACCCGAGACUCAGUGAAAUUGAACUCGCUGUGAAGAUGCAGUGUACCCGCGGCAAGACGGAAAGACCCCGUGAACCUUUACUAUAGCUUGACACUGAACAUUGAGCCUUGAUGUGUAGGAUAGGUGGGAGGCUUUGAAGCGUGGACGCCAGUCUGCGUGGAGCCAACCUUGAAAUACCACCCUUUAAUGUUUGAUGUUCUAACGUUGGCCCCUGACCGGGGUUGCGGACAGUGUCUGGUGGGUAGUUUGACUGGGGCGGUCUCCUCCCAAAGCGUAACGGAGGAGCACGAAGGUUAGCUAAUCCUGGUCGGACAUCAGGAGGUUAGUGCAAUGGCAUAAGCUAGCUUGACUGCGAGCGUGACGGCGCGAGCAGGUGCAAAGCAGGUCAUAGUGAUCCGGUGGUUCUGAAUGGAAGGGCCAUCGCUCAACGGAUAAAAGGUACUCCGGGAUAACAGGCUGAUACCGCCCAAGAGUUCAUAUCGACGGCGGUGUUUGGCACCUCGAUGUCGGCUCAUCACAUCCUGGGGCUGAAGUAGGUCCCAAGGGUAUGGCUGUUCGCCAUUUAAAGUGGUACGCGAGCUGGGUUUAGAACGUCGUGAGACAGUUCGGUCCCUAUCUGCCGUGGGCGCUGGAGAAUUGAGGGGGGCUGCUCCUAGUACGAGAGGACCGGAGUGGACGCAUCACUGGUGUUCGGGUUGUCAUGCCAAUGGCACUGCCCGGUAGCUAAAUGCGGAAGAGAUAAGUGCUGAAAGCAUCUAAGCACGAAACUUGCCCCGAGAUGAGUUCUCCCUGAGACUUUAAGUCUCCUGAAGGAACGUUAAAGACGAUGACGUUGAUAGGCCGGGUGUGUAAGCGCAGCGAUGCGUUGAGCUAACCGGUACUAAUGAACCGUGAGGCUUAACCUUACAACGCCGAAG